rfam:Aphanomyces astaci strain APO3 cont1.732, whole genome shotgun sequence.
GGGAAAAUAGCUCAGUGGUAGAGCAUUGGUUUCUUAACUCAAAUGUCGUGGGUUCGACCCCGGCUUCCCU